rnacentral:misc_RNA from 1 species
GAUGAAGAACGCAGCGAAAUGCGAUAAGUAAUGUGAAUUGCAGAAUCCAGUGAAUCAUCGAAUCUUUGAACGCACAUUGCGCCCCCUGGUAUUCCGGGGGGCAUGCCUGUCCGAGCGUCAUUGCUGCCCUCAAGCACGGCUUGUGUGUUGGGCCUCCGUCCUCCUCCCGGGGGACGGGCCCGAAAGGCAGCGGCGGCACCGCGUCCGGUCCUCGAGCGUAUGGGGCUUCGUCACCCGCUCUUGUAGGCCCGGCCGGCGCUUGCCGACACAUCAAUCUUUUUUCCAGGUUGACCUCGGAUCAGGUAGGGAUACCCGCUGAACUUAAGCAUAUCAAUAAGCGGAGGA